rnacentral:rRNA from 1 species
GACGAACGCUGGCGGCAGGCUUAACACAUGCAAGUCGAACGCCCCGCAAGGGGAGUGGCAGACGGGUGAGUGACGCGUGGGAAUCUACCGUGCCCUGCGGAAUAGCUCCGGGAAACUGGAAUUAAUACCGCAUACGCCCUACGGGGAAAGAUUUAUCGGGGUAUGAUGAGCCCGCGUUGGAUUAGCUAGUUGGUGGGGUA